rnacentral:rRNA from 1 species
UGAGUAACACGUAUCCAACCUGCCGUCUACUCUUGACAGCCUUCUGAAAGGAAGAUUAAUACAAGAUGGCAUCAUGAGUCCGCAUGUUCACAUGAUUAAAGGUAUUCCGGUAGACGAUGGGGAUGCGUCCCAUUAGAUAGUAGGCGGGGUAACGGCCCACCUAGUCUUCGAUGGAUAGGGGUUCUGAGAGGAAGGUCCCCCACAUUGGAACUGAGACACGGUCCAA